rnacentral:rRNA from 1 species
UCCUUUGUUGCCAGCGGUCCGGCCGGGAACUCAAAGGAGACUGCCAGUGAUAAACUGGAGGAAGGUGGGGAUGACGUCAAGUCAUCAUGGCCCUUACGACCAGGGCUACACACGUGCUACAAUGGCGCAUACAAAGAGAAGCGACCUCGCGAGAGCAAGCGGACCUCAUAAAGUGCGUCGUAGUCCGGACUGGAGUCUGCAACUCGACUCCAUGAAGUCGGAAUCGCUAGUAAUCGUGGAUCAGAAUGCCACGGUGAAUACGUUCCCGGGCCUUGUACACACCGCCCGUCACACCAUGGGAGUGGGUUGCAAAAGAAGUAGGUAGCUUAACCUUCGGGAGGGCGCUUACCACUUUGUGAUUCAUGACUGGGGUGAAGUCGUAACAAGGUAACCGUAGGGGAACCUGCGGUUGGA